rnacentral:rRNA from 1 species
CCCUUAGAUGUUCUGGGCCGCACACGCGCUACACUGAAACGAUCAGCUAGUUUCUCCCUCUCCGAGAGGAGCGGGAAAACUGUUGAACCCUUUUCGUGGUAGGGAUUGGAGCUUGCAAUUGUUCUCCAUGAACCAGGAAUUCCCAGUAGGCGCGAGUCAUAAGCUCGCGUCGAUUACGUCCCUGCCCUUUGUACACACCGCCCGUCGCUACUACCGAUUGAGUGUUUUAGUGAGGUCCUCGGAUUGCUGCCUCGGAGGGAUUAUUCCUUUCUUUGCGGCGAGAAGACGACCAAACUGUAGCACUUAGAGGAAGUAAAAGUCGUAACA